GCGCGUUAUGAAAAAUUGAUGUGAGUGAA
rnacentral:sRNA from 1 species